UUUUUUUUUUUUUUUGGCCAUAUGUGUGGCACAUGGAAUGUCCCAGGAUAAGGGUCGAAUCGGAGCUGUAGCCACCGGCCUACACCACAUCACAGCAAUGCCAGAUCCGAGCCACAUCUGUGACCUACACUAAGCUCAUGGCAAUGCUGGAUCCUUAACCCACUGAGUGAGGUCAGGGAUCAAACCUUUGUCCUCACAGAUACCAGUCAUGUUUGUUGCCGCUGAGCCACAACAGCGAGUCCUGAUCACUCUUGCUAAAUUAGCCCCCUCUCCUCCCCCAGCAAGCUCUGUCCCCUGAACUUGAUAAAUUCUUCUCUUCACAGCCGUUAUUGCUUCCUGACUUUACAUGGUAUGUUUGUUUGUUUACUGAUUUCUUAUCUGUUUUUCUCCCUGGAAGGUAGCUCCAUUAGAGCAGGUAAUUUUGUCUUGCUCAUGGUUACAGCCCCAGUCUAGAAUAUUGCCUGGUAUAUGAUAGACAAAGAGUAUCUAUCAAAUAGCUGAAUGAUUCCAUUUCUGCCUUAGAUCACCAGAGCAACCCACAGGGCGGGGACCUUUUCGGGAGAGAUUGAAAGCCUAUUUGAGAUUGUGCCCAUCAUUUCCUAUGCAGAGACCUUCAUGUUUCUCACUGAGUGCCUUCAGCUCUUCUCACGGCCUCUUUGCAUCCUAUGACACCUCCCCUAGCCUCAUCCUAGGAAAAUCCAGGAUGCUCUUAUAUCAGGAUUUGCAAUAGCCAGCAAAGUCAAGUGUCCAAAAUUAACAAACAGGCCUCUAGUUUCCCUAAAGUCGAAGGAAGUUCAAGAUGUUAGUGUGACAUAGGGACAGAGGCAAGAAGGAUGCAGGUCAGGAGGGGGAAGAGUCCAGUGGAGGCUGGUCUGAUGAGGUUUAAGGAUCCCAACGACAUCACCGAGUGUUCAAGAGCAAUGGAAUCUAUCCUCAACAUCGUCUAGCCCUUGUGCUGCUUUAGCUGUGGGCCCUGGACCAGUAGCACCCCAUCACCUGGGAGCUUGUUAGCAGCCCACCAUCUGGGGUCUCAGGUUCCCGACCUCCUGAAUCAGACCCUGCGUGAGAGCAAAGCCCCAGGUGAUUUGAGCGCACAUCCUAAAGUCUCACUCUAGCCCGUCCGCCUGACAGUUCAAUUUCUGAGGUUUUUUGUUUUGUCCACCAAGCUUCAUCUUGCUCAGAAUUAUUACAGGAUGUCAUUUGUUUCCCACAUUUAAAAAGACAAGGGGUGUCACCAAAAAAAAAAAAAAAAAAAAAAAAAUCAGAUCUCUAACUAUCGUUGAAAAAUCCAAAAUCUGGUAGCCUUGGUGUGUGCCCCCCACACAGCACCAACUGGGGACAGAUGAGCAGUGGCUCCUCAUUACCUGGGGCAGGUAAGCUCCAACUCAUCAAGCCCUACAACUCACCAAGCCCUCACCCAGCCUGCUGUAAUCAUCAAUGAGACCUGUCUGCACGCCACAGUUGUCUCUGUUUCUCAGCUCUCAUGUAGUCCAAUGAUCUCAUUUUACGGAGAAGGAAAAGACGCUCAGAGGGUUAAGCAUCUUGGCUAAAGAGUCACAGCCAGAAGGAUGCUUAUUCACUUUUCAUUAUCCUGCCUGAGAAAUGGGUAACUUUACUGUUACCUUGAAGAUGAGCAACUUGAAGCAUGUUAAAGAAGUUCACUGGCUGUCUUAAAAGAAGCCAAGAAAUAAAUAACAAAAAUACCUCCCCUCUCCAAGGCUGGCAGGAGAGGGAGUCUCCCCAGUGCAGGAGGCUACUGAAGGUAGCCCUGCGCCCCGUACCUCCCAGAGAGGGCAAAUGCUGACCUUGGACAUUCACUUAGCAUCGCUUCACCUCUCCCUCGAGGAAGGAAAGUCUUGGGAACCAGAGAAACCUCUUCAGCAAAUGGCAUUAUCCCGAAGGGGAAGGUAAGGCUGUGACACAGCGACCUUGUCAACAUGGGACAAUCACUGAUCGCCUCAAGUUCACAUGAGCACCAGAGACAAAAACCAAAGAUGGAAGUUUGAAUUCUGAGUCCAGAUUAGGCCGCUGAACCCUAUAACCGUGGGUGAUUUUUUUACACUUCUGGAUUUAUCAAGCCCCCAAUGCUCCCAUUUCUCACUCUCCAAAUGAAGGCCAAGGGUCACAAAAAUAAGUCAUUGAAUAGUAACAAAAGUAAACCAUUCAGAGUAAUAAAACGAGUUAUUCUGCAGGGUAUAGCGAUUCAGAGUUUACACUGAAACGUCACAUACCUUAUCUCCUCUGAACAUCACAGUAGCUUGGCGACUCUCUGACUUCAUAGAUGAGAAAAGAGCCCAUCCGAGCCCACAGAGUCAAUAAGUGCCGUGACAUUCAAACUCCCAUCCACAGGCUUUUGAAAACUGUGUGGAAACAAAGUAACUGAAAGGAGACCAUGUAGACAUGAAAUGGUGCAGAAGCCUAUGGUUCCCACCACCCCCUGAUGUACUUUUGUCUGUAGAAAAACUUCAGCCCAAGAAUAAGUUUAAUCGGAGAAAUGAGAAAAUGUAGGAGCAAAGGAAAACCAUCAAACAAGACCAAAGAGUAAUAAUAUAAUAAUAAUUUGCUUAAAGCCAGGGACUUUUAGUUCCUCCUCAAGGGCUGCAGAUAAUAUUCUGAGCCAUGUCCUGUGAGCUAUCGAUACUGAAACCCCCACCAGGUAGAAGUUACCUCCAUGAUGCUCUGUAGACAUAAGCUACCACAAUUCCAAGAACUGGCCUCAAGGAACUGGGAAUAAACCAGCCCUGGAACCAAUAAUGAGCUCUAUUGAAGACAAUCAGGAUGAUACUGAUCAGACCACCUCAUGAUCAAUUCCAAGAUGACUGUCAGAGCUGACUGUGCUGCUUCUGCAUGUAGCCCCCUCCCUCCCACUAAAAAACUCUUGCCCUUUGUCAGUGGGGCAGUUGGCCUUUGGACAGGAGUCCACCUUCCCCGUUGGUAGGUUACUGGCACCCGAAAUAAAGCAAACUUUCCUAUCCACCAAGCUUGCCUCUUUAUUGGCUUUAGAGGGGCAAGCAGCCAGAUCCCACUUUCGCUAACAGAUCACCUGAGGAAAAUCAUCAAACAGACCAUGUGCAAUGACCCCACUGAAGAGAGACAGAGCAGCAAUUAAGAGUGCACAUUUAGGAGUUCCGGUCCUGGCUCAGCAGAAACAAAUAUGACUAAUAACCAUGAGGAUGCAGGUUCGAUCCCUGGCCUUGCUCAGUGGGUUAAGGACCCAGCAUUACCAUGAGCUGUUAGUGUAGGUCACAGAUGUAGCUCAGAUCUGGUGUCGCUGUGGCUGUGACCUAGGUCCGUGGCUACAAUUCUUAUUUGACCCCUAGCCAGAGAACCUCCAUAUGCUGUGGGUGCACCCCCCUCCAAAAAAAAGGCAAAAAAAAAAAAAAAAAAAAUNUUCAUGGAUUAAAUAAGGUUAAUAAUAGCACUAGCCUUUUUCUGAAUCAAACAAAAUAAUGUGUGUAGAAAUGCUUAGCCUGCUGCCUAGCGCACAGAGUAAAUAUUCAAUAAAUGAAAGCAAUUAUUAUACAUCAGCCCAGCAAGAAAAAUAUCUCAAGACAGCACCUAGAAAGACCUUAGAGGCUUGUAAACCAAAAAUGUAGGUAAAGAGAAGAAAUGGAGAGAGAGAAAUCUUACCCUUCUAAUCUUGCAAAAAGAAACUCCAAGGGGAAGCAGAAAUUGUGAUGUCUAAACAGCUUCGAGAUUUCAAUAUAAAUUAAUCAAGGGAAUUAUUCUUCCUUUCAGAGGAUUUAGACUAAGGCGCAAUGGCCUGAAGCUACAGAAGAGGAAAUGUGGGUUAGGUACUUCAAGACUAGAAUGUUCUCAGCAGGGAAAGUAAUUAGGAAAUGAAAUAGGCACCCUGGGGUUGGGAUGGAGGAAUCUUCCUUGGCAGUAAUCAAGGAGAAAUGAGGGGAAAAGGACAAAGCAGGCAAGAACUGCACAAUAUCCAUCCAUGGGGGGCGGGAGGUGUUUCUACACGUUUUAAGGGAUCUAUCAAGUAGUCAAUCAACAGGCAUUCAUGAUGGCCUAUUUCUUGGUGCCCCAUGAGGUCUUAAGAGAGAUGCCAAAUAAAGGCAGGAACGGGAGUUCCCGUCGUGGCUCAGUGGUUAACGAACCCCACUAGCAUCCAUGAGGACUUGGGUUUGAUUCCUAGCCAUGCUCAGUGGGUUAAGGAUCCAGAGUGGCCGUGAGCUGUGGUGUAGGUCACAGACGUGGCUCGGAUCCUGCACUGCUGUGUCUGUACUGUAGGCCAGUGGCUACAGAUCUGAUUCGAACCCUAGCCUGGGAACUUCCAUACGCUGCAGGGGCGGUCCUAAAAAGACAAAAAGACAAAAAGAAAAAAGAAAAAAGAAAAAGAAAGAAAGAGAAAGAAAAGAAGAAAGAAAGGCAGGAAAGAUGCUGACCUCAGGGUCCUUGCUGUCUCCUAGAGAGAGCAGAGCUCCCAGACAAGAGGGAGGAUGGGUGUGGGGGAGGGGCUGGGACUUCUUUCCCCCUUGGGUAACCCUCAAUUGUUUUCCGUAUAUUUAGUUUCUCUGACAAAAAUGUUAAUGGCUUUACACCAUCAUGAAAUAAAAGUCAUGAGUUAGGUUUAGCAAUUGAUUUAUUGAUUUUAUGCCAACAGUCAAAAAGUGCCUGUGCCUGUGGGUCCUGGUGACGUUACCUCCUGACAUGUUGCAAUGACACUGUUUUAGUGGCAGCAGGGUGGCGAAGUAGCAUAAUGUAGGGGAACAGAAUACGCCACCCUCCAUUAUGUCACUUUGGCAUAUUGAUUAUUUUGAAUUAAAGUUAUUUGAGAAACAGCCCAUGCAAGAAGAGCAUUCUGACUCUUCUUUGUUCACCUGAAAGCAGGACAGAAAGCACCCAUGUGAAAGGUACCCUCCCUGUCCCAAGAGAGAUGAAGAAAUUGGGAAUCACCAAAAAUAGGAAGUUUUGAUCCAAGACGGAGGAGCAAACCUUGUUAUUUCUUCACUAAUUUACUAUCCCAAAGCCAAACCCCUUUUUCUCAUCAAUGCCUCACAAAUACACUGUGUCUUUCUCCAAAAGGUAUAAAAGCUUCCUGCUUUGGUCUCUUCUUUGAGUUUGCUGUUUUUAUAGAGCUCCUGUACGAAUGAAAUUAAAUUGGUCUUUCUCCUGUUACUCUGUCCUAAGUCAACUUUAUGAUGGGGCCAGCCAAAGAACCUCGAAGGGAAUCAGGCACCAUUCCUCUUCCUUUACAAUCGUGAGCCUCUAAUGUAUAAGAGAAACAUAGGAAAAGUCAUACGACCAAGUUGAGAUUGAUGCCUCAUUCUACUAUAAAGAAAUUCGGCUGAGAGGACCAUCACGGCAGGCAACAUGGGCAAAGAUUUCUCCUUGGGAUGAGGUGAGAUUGAAGUUAGCCUUUAACCUGAAUCACGAUGCACAUAAGACACGGAAGAGCCAUCAUCAGCUAUCUGUUGCAUAAGUGCUGCUUGGUAACAAAAAUCCACCGCAAAACUCAGCAGCUUAAAACAAUAGUUGUGCAUGGAUUCUUACAACCCUGUGGAGCAGCCGGGAGGUUUUGUUCACCUGGACAGGGCUCAGCUGACAUUUCCUAGGCUUGCCCACGGCCUGGGGUCAUCUGGCAUGUAAGGUGGGGCCUGGAGGGUCAAGGAUGGCCUCAGUGGCCAUGGGUCCCGUGUGCUUCACACAAUUUCAGCCCCUUCCACAGGCUUCUCGGCCUGUCCUUGUGACCAGAGGCAGCAAGGCCUCCAAAGGCUUGGGCUUAGAACUCAGAACUCCUCCUGACACCCUUCCCUAUCAACACACACACAGCCCUCUGCUGUUGCAGGAAGAAGAUUCUGGUAAAGCACACUCCUGGCUCUGCUUUGUCUGGCUCCAUCCAGAUAAUGAAGGGUCCCCGGGUGGUUUUGAUUGACAUGACAAAGACCUGAGCUAAAAGAGGGAAGGGGAAGGCACAAAAGAGUAAGCGUCUGCCGUGCCCCCAUUUAGAGUUUUAGGGAGAAUUUGGAGAGAAGCAGCCGUUGAGAGUGGACUAUGCCAGCAAAAUCUGGCAAAAGAUGGAAAUCGUAGGAUUCACAAUGUUUUAUUGGGAAUAAGACCGAGACCCUCUUUGGAAUUCUUGGAGAGGCUUUGGUAGAGGUUUAAUUGCUUUGCACUUCGGGUUUGGGAUGGGCACUGCUUUGGGUGCAACUCUGGGCCGCCUGGCAGAGCAUUGGUGGGGGCAGGAUGGUGGGGUCCCCUGGGAGCAGGCUCACCAUCAGCCUCCUGCUCCAGCCUCAUAAACAUCUCACAUACACUUUGGUUCAAGUCUGACUGUGUGGCACUUAACCAAGGGGAUAAAUCAACCCCAGCUCCAAAUGAAGGCUGGAAAUGAAAUGGCCUUUUCUAGAAAGAGAUGGCCAAUUCACCCAACCGCACAUAAAUUUUGCCUGCAUUUGAAAUUGGAAAAAUCUUGCAGACCCUUCUUCCUGAUUAAGAAUGUCAUAAAUCCGAGGGAUCAGAGGGGUAACCAGAUUCGCUGGCCUCUGAAGUCUAACGCAUUCCAGAACAGCAUCCGCCCCACUCGUAAAAGUCCCCUAGUAUUUUGUUCCAAGACCUCAGAAAGCUUUUGCAGAAAAUCACAACUUCCUAACUGAAGAGU
rnacentral:lncRNA from 1 species